rnacentral:rRNA from 1 species
GACGAACGCUGGCGGCGUGCUUAACACAUGCAAGUCGAACGGAAAGGCCCCUUCGGGGGUACUCGAGUGGCGAACGGGUGAGUAACACGUGAGUAACCUGCCCUUGACUUCGGGAUAACUUCAGGAAACUGGGGCUAAUACCGGAUAGGAAUCCUUGCUGCAUGGUGGGGGUUGGAAAGCUUCGGCGGUUUUGGAUGGACUCGCGGCUUAUCAGCUUGUUGGUGGGGUAGUGGCUUACCAAGGCUUUGACGGGUAGCCGGCCUGAGAGGGCGACCGGCCACAUUGGGACUGAGAUACGGCCCAGACUCCUACGGGAGGCAGCAGUGGGGAAUAUUGCACAAUGGGCGGAAGUCUGAUGCAGCAACGCCGCGUGCGGGAUGACGGCCUUCGGGUUGUAAACCGCUUUCAGCAGGGGCGAAGCUUGUGGUGACGGUACCUGCAGAAGAAGCACCGGCUAACUACGUG